rnacentral:tRNA from 1 species
GCCGGGAUGGCGGAAUGGCAUACGCGCGGGUUUCAAAAACCCGUGGCCGCAAGGUCGUGUGGGUUCAAGUCCCACUCCCGGCACCA